AUUGAACGCUGGUGGCAUGCUUAACACAUGCAAGUCGAACGGCAGCAUGACUCUGCUUGCAGAGUUGAUGGCGAGUGGCGGACGGGUGAGUAACACGUGGGAAUCUACCUAUCAGACUGGGACAACCUGAGGAAACUUGGGCUAAUACCGGAUAAUACUUGAGGGUUAAAAGUGGCUUAGGCUGCUGCUGAUAGAUGAGCCUGCGUCGGAUUAGCUAGAUGGUGAGGUAAGAGCUCACCAUGGCGACGAUCCGUAGCUGUUCUGAGAGGAAGAUCAGCCACACUGGGACUGAGACACGGCCCAG
rnacentral:rRNA from 1 species